UGUGACUGCGUACCUUUUGUAUAAUGGGUCAGCGACUUAUAUUCUGUAGCAAGGUUAACCGAAUAGGGGAGCCGGAGGGAAACCGAGUCUUAAUUGGGCGUUAAGUUGCAGGGUAUAGACCCGAAACCCGGUGAUCUAGCCAUGGGCAGGUUGAAGGUUGGGUAACACUAACUGGAGGACCGAACCGACUAAUGUUGAAAAAUUAGCGGAUGACCUGUGGCUGGGGGUGAAAGGCCAAUCAAACCGGGAGAUAGCUGGUUCUCCCCGAAAGCUAUUUAGGUAGCGCCUCGUGAAUUCAUCUCCGGGGGUAGAGCACUGUUUCGGCUAGGGGGCCAUCCCGGCUUACCAACCCGAUGCAAACUGCGAAUACCGGAGAAUGUUAUCACGGGAGACACACGGCGGGUGCUAACGUCCGUCGUGAAGAGGGAAACAACCCAGACCGCCAGCUAAGGUCCCAAAGUCAUGGUUAAGUGGGAAACGAUGUGGGAAGGCCCAGACAGCCAGGAUGUUGGCUUAGAAGCAGCCAUCAUUUAAAGAAAGCGUAAUAGCUCACUGGUCGAGUCGGCCUGCGCGGAAGAUGUAACGGGGCUAAACCAUGCACCGAAGCUGCGGCAGCGACACUCAGGUGUUGUUGGGUAGGGGAGCGUUCUGUAAGCCUGCGAAGGUGGCCUGUGAGGGUUGCUGGAGGUAUCAGAAGUGCGAAUGCUGACAUAAGUAACGAUAAAGCGGGUGAAAAGCCCGCUCGCCGGAAGACCAAGGGUUCCUGUCCAACGUUAAUCGGGGCAGGGUGAGUCGACCCCUAAGGCGAGGCCGAAAGGCGUAGUCGAUGGGAAACGGGUUAAUAUUCCCGUACUUGGUGUUACUGCGAAGGGGGGACGGAGAAGGCUAUGUUGGCCGGGCGACGGUUGUCCCGGUUUAAGCGUGUAGGUGUGUGUUCCAGGUAAAUCCGGUUCACUUUAACACUGAGGCGUGACGACGAGGCACUACGGUGCUGAAGCAACAAAUGCCCUGCUUCCAGGAAAAGCCUCUAAGCAUCAGGUAACAUCAAAUCGUACCCCAAACCGACACAGGUGGUCAGGUAGAGAAUACCAAGGCGCUUGAGAGAACUCGGGUGAAGGAACUAGGCAAAAUGGUGCCGUAACUUCGGGAGAAGGCACGCUGACACGUAGGUGAAGUGAUUUACUCAUGGAGCUGAAGUCAGUCGAAGAUACCAGCUGGCUGCAACUGUUUAUUAAAAACACAGCACUGUGCAAACACGAAAGUGGACGUAUACGGUGUGACGCCUGCCCGGUGCCGGAAGGUUAAUUGAUGGGGU
rnacentral:rRNA from 1 species